AGUUAAUAAGCUAAUAAGCAUUUGUUUUGAAAACAUAUAUUAGAAGUUUAAAUCUUCUAUUAACUU
rnacentral:tRNA from 1 species